UCGUUGAAUGAACUUUCCUUCCGGCCAACGAAUAUCAUUAGUUUUACCACUUUUGUUAACUAGAUCAGGACUCAGAUGUGGAAGAAUCUAAAAUGAUGAUAUCAGGUAAGUCUCUACACUUUGACUUGUAUUUCAAUUUUAGACUCAAUUCAUCGAGGAUCUUGAUCUAAUAUCCCACAACUCCACUUGAAGAUAUUGGACGAAGGAAAAUUUCGUUGGAUGGAGUUUCACUCCUACCGACGGCUAUAACUAGUGCUACCACUUAUAUGAGCUAGAUCUAUAUCUCUACCCGAAUUCCACUUCUAUAAUCUAGAUAUGGAUCUCAACUUGGGAGAAAUCUUAAAUGUCAAUAUCAGAUUAAACAAGGAUAAUUUCGUUGAAUAAAGUUCCCUUCUGGCCAACGACUGGCACUGGUGUUACCACUCUGUGAACUAGGUCAGGACUUAAAUCUGGAAGAAUCUGAAAUGACGAUAUCAGGUAAGUCUCUUCAAGUUUGAGUUAUUUUUCAAUUUUAGAAUCAAUUCAUCAAGGAUUUAGAUCUAAUAUCCCGCAAUUUAACUUGAGAUAUUAAACCAAGGAUAACUUCGUUUGAUGAAGUUUCCUCUCUGCCGACGGCUAUAAAUGGUGUUACUACUUAUGUGAGCUAGAUGUAUAUGUCUACCCAAAUGAAUCUGAAAUGAUGAUAUCAGGUUAAACCAAGGAUAAUUUCAUUGGAAGAAGCUUCUUUCCGCCAACGCUUCACACUAUUGUUACCACUUCUGUGAGCUAGAUCUAGAUCUCAACUCGGGAUGAAUCUGAAAUGAGGAUAUCAUGUAAAUCUCCACCAUUUUGAGUUAUUCAAACAUAAUUCGUCAACGAUUUAGAUAUGAUAUCUUCUAAGUUAACUUGAAGAGAUCAAACCAAGGAUAACUUUCUCUGAUGAAGUUUCCACCCCGCCAAUGGCUAAAAUUGGUGUUACCACUUAUGUGAUCUAGAUUUGGGUCCCAAUCUGGGACAAAUAUGAAAUUAUGAUAUUAGGUAAGUCUUAACCACUUUGAGUUAUUUUCCAAUUUCAAACUCUAUUUGUCAAGGAUUUAGAUAUGAUAUCUCAUAAUUUAACUUGAAUAGAUUAA